AGGGUCUAAGUGGGGUCGAAAUGGAGUUAUUCUUAAGGAACUAUGAUAAUUUUGGCUUAACACAUUGAUGUCUAGGCCACUCAUGGGUCCAGGCACAAUACGGACAAAAUAAAUGUUUGGGAGAGGAAAAAUCAUUACAAAAUGAUGGUGCCUGCCAGGCAGUGGAGGCUUGGGCUCAUAUGGAAAGUCCCUGACACACUUCCAAGGCACAGAUACUAUGUACUUCCUUCCCUGAACCUCCUGGAUCUCAAGAAUAUGAAAUAUUACAGAAAGAAAGAAAAGAUUCUGGGAAUUAGGUAGUUCACCAAUACAUCUCACAGAAAAAAAAUGAACAAUUGCUCAAUGAAAUAAAAGAGUCAAAAAUCUCAUAAUAAAGAAUAAAUCUUUUGGCAAUUAAAUACAAGUGGGAAUUUUAACUUACUGCUCUGGGACUGAACUCUCAUGGAAAACCUGAACCAACAAUCACAAUCGAGUAUUAAUUUAAGAUCUGUAUUCCUUGUACUUAUUCAUUCAGGAAACAUUGGAGGGUUAGGACAACAUUGAU
rnacentral:lncRNA from 1 species